AUUGAACGCUGGCGGGAGGCUUAACACAUGCAAGUCGAACGAGUGGCGGACGGGUGAGUAAUAUCUCGGAAACUGCCCUGUCGCGGGGGAUAACUACUCGAAACUGUGGCUCAUACCGCCUACUAUUGGAUAGGCCCAUAUGGGAUGAGCUAGUUGGUGGGGUAAAGGCUCACCAAGGCGACGAUCCGUAGCUGGUCUGAGAGGAUGACCAGCCACACUGGGACUGAGACACGGUCCAGACUCCUACGGGAGGCAGCAGUGGGGAAUAUUGGACAAUGGGGGAAAGCCGGAUGCAGCCAUGCCGCGUGGAUGAAGAAGGCCUUCGGGUUGUAAAGUACUUUGAGCGGGGAGGCGGUACACGAAGAAGAAGCACCGGCUAACUCCGUGCCAGCAGCCGCGGUAAUUC
rnacentral:rRNA from 1 species